ACCAAUAACACUUCAUUUGGAUUGGAUUUUCAAAUCCAUAAAAAUACAUAAACCAAUAACACCUUGUUUAAUUUGCUCUCAGAAACCUUUAUGUGAAUUGCACUUAUUCUGUUGAAUUUAUUAAUUGCUAUUAUCAUCCCUUAAAUAUUUGUAACGACUGUGUUAAUAUUUGUAGGCACUGUAUUUUUUUGGAAGAUAUGAUCUACUAAUGUUUGCUGAUGGUUUGUUAUUUAUUUUCGAUAAUUAUUACGUGGGAAUUAUUCUUUGAACAAAUGGUCGUCAACUAUUUAAAUCUUCAUUAUUUUUGUGUUAUAAAGUUACAAAUAAAUUAGUCAAACUAUUUAUCUAUUAAAUAAAUAAUAAAUAAUAAUUUGUUAAAAAAUUGGUCAAACUAGAUCCUUUUGUAUCGAAAUUUUAAAAGAAACUUAACUUAAAAUAGAUAUGUUUCAAUUCAAUAUUUGAUUCGUCUAUAAAUAUACUUCCUUGUCUUUCUAAUUUUUAAAACACAAUUUGUUCAUUAUCUAAGAUGAAAAUCUCUUUCCAGACUUCGCUUAUUAGCUUCAUUAUGCUCACAAUCUUUCUACUAGGAGUAGUGGUGUCUGCUCAGAAAGGAGGACCAAGCACACAAAAAACUUGUGUUGAAGCAUAUCCAAACAAUACUGGAAAAUGUGAUGCUAAGCAAUGUACAGCCGAAUGUAUCAAAAAGAGGCCAAAAGGGAGGGGUAGGUGCAAAGAUAUAGGCAAAGGAGAUUGGCAAUGCAGAUGCUAUUAUCAGUGUCGUCGCUGAUAUUUGUUUAUCUAAAUUGAAGUUCAAAUCUAUUCUAUUAAAUAAGAAGUCACAACUUCUUUUCAUAUGAUAUUUAAAAAAUGGAUCUUCCCUAGAAGGUCAAUUUUCAUUUAUUUUUAAAUAACAUUUUCAAUAACUAAAUCACUUCAUAUGUUAUCGACUAUAAUAACUACUUUGCCUAUAAUUGGUUCGUUUUACCAAAAUAUUUUGUCAUCAUUAAUGAAUCACAUAUAGAUGCACGAGUAUAGUAACAUUCCCCUAUACGGCAACCUUGGUAUAUAUAUACUUUAUCAAUAAUUCUAAAUCGAAUUUAACCUAUUCUUCAUAAGGGUGACUCUUAUACCGGUUUGGUUUAUACAAUUAAUAAGUAAAAAAAAUACAAUUUAACCGAUUCUGACCAAUUAGACUUAACCAGUUUUUACCAUUAUUUCUAAUACAUGAUUACACUGACUAUUCUACCGGUUUAUACAGUUAAUAAACAAAAAAAAUAAGUCUUAACCGGUUCUGACCAUCAUUUCAAUCACCUUAAACCGGUUUGUGAUACUUUAUAAUUGCUACUUGCAUAAACCAUUAUUAUAUAGAACCAAGUUAUUGUUGACAAAAAAAUAUAGAACCAAGUGAUAAGAUACAGCUGGAAAGUAAGUACAUAGGGGUUGACUGGAAUUGGUUGUAGGUAUUUUAGAUAUUCAUUUUUGCUUUCUAAAGUAGUUUCAUAAAGCAAUCAUGUUUUACCUUUAAAAAAUAAAUCUACAGCCAAAAAUUUAUGAAAUGAAAUAUGUUAGCUCUCAAAAUCAAUUUUUCUACAACUUUUUUUUAGUUCUUUGAAAAUAAAUUUACAGCAAAAAAUUAAAGUCAAAGCAAAAAAAAUUCACAACAUGUUGUCAAAAACAAAAAGUUAAAGCUACGUCACCAACCAAUCAACCCCAUAAUACUCUAUAUACUAAAACGUAAGUCGUCUGGCGAAUCAGAAACUGCCACGUAGAAAAAAAUUUAAGAACAAUUAAAAAACAAUUAAACAUAAAUAACGCUUAAGGAAAAAAAAACAUAAACCGUAUAAACCUUUAUCAAAACAGCCCAUGAUCCACGAUCUAUAUUUUUGUCCACGAUCUUAUCCUUUUCAAUUUUCAUUACUCAUAUAUAUAUUUCAGAUUCAAUAUGUAAACAGCAGAAAAACUCCAAAUCAAAUAACAGAGAUAGUCCACUCCUUCGGUUUCAAAACCCUUAUUCAAAACUGGGUUUUACUGAAUGUUCCGAACCAAAGCAGAGUUAGAUUUCUGAGAAAACAGAUUUCAACAACUCAUAUAAUCCCAGUGACGCGAUUUUACUACUACAGUUUCGCCGGCUGAGAAUCAUAUUGCUUCAUCGAGACCGGUUUUGGGGCCAAGAGGUUCGAGAAAGAGUAGAUCUGAAUUAUAUGAAUUUCUGGAGAUUCAUUAUAAUAAAGAGACUUCGUUGUAAGACCCGCCGGAAAGAGAAGAAAACUAAGAUAAAAAGCAGCGGCUGAUGUGAUAAAAUGGAUCUAUCCAUGAAAAUAACGGUUCUCCCAGAAUGCGGAUUUCUUCUUAACGGAGUGUAGAAAGAUAAGCAUUUGGAUGCUUGGACCUAUGAUAAGGAUAGGCCUUUCGCAGUCAACACCGGAUUAGAGUUUUGGGAGUCAACAUUCUUUAAGAAUCCGGCGUUGGUGGCCGCGGAACACCUCUGAGGUCUCUACACUGAUAUAUACCAUCGAGAGAUCUAUUAUUCUGUCUUGGACACCCCGUCUCAAAGACGUCGACAAUAACUUGAUUCGCUUGCUGUCGGUGUUCAUUAGAGUUGGAGACUUUGCCUCUUUGUGUCUUCAUUCCCGCACCAUCUACGUCCUUUUACUUUAGAUUUGCGUGUGUUGAAUUGAUUUUAAUUCUUUCUAUAACCUAGCAAACACCAUUUCUUCCGUGUACAGGUGGUUUGCCAAGUUGAAUAAUUUAAUACAUAUACUAGCUUAAGAUCCGCGCAAUUGCGCGGAAUGAAUGUCAUAUAUAAAAAUAAUUUUUAUCCAUUAUUAUUUAUUUGUAUUCA